CCGAGUGACCAUACUGAAGGGGAAACACCUGUUCCCAUCCCGAACACAGAAGUUAAGCCCUUCAAGGCCGAUGGUACUGCGGUGGCAACGCCGUGGGAGAGUAGGUAGUUGCUCGGU
rnacentral:rRNA from 1 species